CCUACGGGUGGCAGCAGUGGGGAAUAUUGCACAAUGGGGGAAACCCUGAUGCAGCGACGCCGCGUGAGUGAGGAAGUAUUUCGGUAUGUAAAGCUCUAUCAGCAGGGAAGAAAAUGACGGUACCUGACUAAGAAGCCCCGGCUAACUACGUGCCAGCAGCCGCGGUAAUACGUAGGGGGCAAGCGUUAUCCGGAUUUACUGGGUGUAAAGGGAGCGUAGACGGAAUUGCAAGUCUGAUGUGAAAAUCCGGGGCCCAACCCCGGAACUGCAUUGGAAACUGUCUUUCUAGAGUGUCGGAGAGGCAAGUGGAAUUCCUGGUGUAGCGGUGAAAUGCAUAGAUAUUAGGAAGAACACCAGUGGCGAAGGCGGCUUACUGGACUGUCACUGACACUGAGGCUCGAAAGCGUGGGGAGCGAACAGGAUUAGAUACCCCUGUAGUC
rnacentral:rRNA from 1 species